GAACAAAAAAAGCAAAUAAACAAGCAGAAACGAGAAUGAAAAGAGGGAGAGAGGCGACGCAUUUAUGUCGCCUUUCCUCUCUGCAUGCCUUCUUCCUUCCUUCCAUCUCCCUUCUACUUCCUUUGUACACGUGUUGUUUGUCUAUUUGAGUCUGCAUAUUUGUUUCCUUUAAAUUAGACGAAGGAAUGUCUG
rnacentral:ribozyme from 1 species